rnacentral:tRNA from 1 species
AGAGUAGUAAUUUAAAAAAAAAUAUUUAUUUUGCAUAUAAAAAUUAUAGAUUCUAUCUACUUUA